rnacentral:snRNA from 1 species
CUGCGUAGCGGUCACUACAGAGCGAAUCAAUCUUUCGCCUUUUACUAAAGAUUGCCGUGUAGUUUCCGCACAGAAUGCGCUUGUAGUAAUUUUUGGUGCGCUUCGGCGCA